AAAUCAUCAUGCCCCUUAUGACCUGGGCUACACACGUGCUACAAUGGACGGUACAAAGGGCAGCAAAACCGCGAGGUCGAGCCAAUCCCAUAAACCGUUCUCAGUUCGGAUUGCAGGCUGCAACUCGCCUGCAUGAAGCCGGAAUCGCUAGUAAUCGCGGAUCAGCAUGCCGCGGUGAAUACGUUCCCGGGCCUUGGUACACACCGCCCGUCACACCACGAGAGUUUGUAACACCCGAAGUCGGUGGGGUAACCUUUUGGGAGCCAGCCGCCUAAGGUGGGACAGAUGAUUGGGGUGAAGUCGGAACAAGGUAGCCGUAUCGGAAGGUGCGGCUGGAUCACCUCCUU
rnacentral:rRNA from 1 species